UACGUCCCUGCCCUUUGUACACACCGCCCGUCGCUACUACCGAUUGAAUGGCUCAGUGAGGCCUCCGGACUGGCUCGAAGAGGUUGGCAACGACCACUUCGAGCCGGAAAGUUCGUCAAACUCGGUCAUUUAGAGGAAGUAAAAGUCGUAACAAGGUUUCCGUAGGUGAACCUGCGGAAGGAUCAUUACCUAGAGUUGUAGGCUUUGCCUACCAUCUCUUACMCAUGUCUUUUGAGUACCUUCGUUUCCUCGGCGGGUCCGCCCGCCGAUUGGACAAACUUAAACCCUUUGUAAUUGAAAUCAGCGUCUGAAAAAACAUAAUAGUUACAACUUUCAACAACGGAUCUCUUGGUUCUGGCAUCGAUGAAGAACGCAGCGAAAUGCGAUAAGUAGUGUGAAUUGCAGAAUUCAGUGAAUCAUCGAAUCUUUGAACGCACAUUGCGCCCCUUGGUAUUCCAUGGGGCAUGCCUGUUCGAGCGUCAUUUGUACCUUCAAGCUCUGCUUGGUGUUGGGUGUUUGUCUCGCCUUUGCGUGUAGACUCGCCUUAAAACAAUUGGCAGCCGGCGUAUUGAUUUCGGAGCGCAGUACAUCUCGCGCUUUGCACUCAUAACGACGACGUCCAAAAAGUACUUUUUACACUCUUGACCUCGGAUCAGGUAGGGAUACCCGCUGAACUUAAGCAUAUCAAUAAGCGGAGGAAAAGAAACCAACAGGGAUUGCCCUAGUAACGGCGAGUGAAGCGGCAACAGCUCAAAUUUGAAAUCUGGCGUCUUUGGCGUCCGAGUUGUAAUUUGCAGAGGGCGCUUUGGCAUUGGCAGCGGUCCAAGUUCCUUGGAACAGGACGUCA
rnacentral:rRNA from 1 species